rnacentral:pre_miRNA from 1 species
GAUAAAUGUCCCGUGGGGUAGAACGCAUGUCAUUCGACCGGCAGGCCAUUUUUCUCGCAGAGCAUUCAUC